rnacentral:rRNA from 1 species
CCUACGGGAGGCAGCAGUGAGGAAUAUUGGACAAUGGGUGGAAGCCUGAUCCAGCCAUCCCGCGUGAAGGACGACGGUUCUAUGGAUUGUAAACUUCUUUUAUAUAGGGAUAAACCUACUCUCGUGAGGGUAGCUGAAGGUACUAUAUGAAUAAGCACCGGCUAACUCCGUGCCAGCAGCCGCGGUAAUACGGAGGGUGCAAGCGUUAUCCGGAUUUAUUGGGUUUAAAGGGUCCGUAGGCGGGCUAAUAAGUCAGUGGUGAAAUCCUGCAGCUUAACUGUAGCACUGCCAUUGAUACUGUUAGUCUUGAGUAUAUUUGAAGUAGCUGGAAUAAGUAGUGUAGCGGUGAAAUGCAUAGAUAUUACUUAGAACACCAAUUGCGAAGGCAGGUUACUAAGAUAAGACUGACGCUGAUGGACGAAAGCGUGGGUAGCGAACAGGAUUAGAUACCCCAGUAGUC